GAUGAACGCUGGCGGCGUGCCUAAUACAUGCAAGUCGAGCGAACGGACGAGAAGCUUGCUUCUCUGAUGUUAGCGGCGGACGGGUGAGUAACACGUGGAUAACCUACCUAUAAGACUAGGAUAACUUCGGGAAACCGUAGCUAAUACCGGAUAAUAUUUUGAACCGCAUGGUUCAAAAGUGAAAGACGGUCUUGCUGUCACUUAUAGAUGGAUCCGCGCUGCAUUAGCUAGUUGGUAAGGUAACGGCUUACCAAGGCAACGAUGCAUAGCCGACCUGAGAGGGUGAUCGGCCACACUGGAACUGAGACACGGUCCAGACUCCUACGGGAGGCAGCAGUAGGGAAUCUUCCGCAAUGGGCGAAAGCCUGACGGAGCAACGCCGCGUGAGUGAUGAAGGUCUUCGGAUCGUAAAACUCUGUUAUUAGGGAAGAACAUAUGUGUAAGUAACUGUGCACAUCUUGACGGUACCUAAUCAGAAAGCCACGGCUAACUACGUG
rnacentral:rRNA from 1 species